UCAUCUUAUCCUAACUAGUAACCAUUGUUUCUUUUUUUUCUUUACAGAAUCAAAUUUCUUUAUUUGUAUAUGCAAAGCUUCCCAUCUCAUCUUUUAGAGAUGUCAUCACAUCUGCAGUGGAAUCCUUUCCGAGAGACUGCGGUGUACUGGCGGAGAAGAAAUUAAAAAGGUGGAUGAGGCAGAAAAAGAUGAUGUUUGGUUGUGAAGAGGAACCUUGCUAUCUCUCCUGGUCUCGUGAUGCCUCUCAGCUUCAAGCCAUCUGGAUUUGUGGUGUUUGUUGACCUUCAUGGCCUGCUCUGCAUCCGGCUCGGCUCAAGAGAAUCUUUCUGACCUGAGACAAUGAGACAUGCUUAAGAGAAUCAAGAUGUGGAAGCGUUACUAUCGGACUUCUCUCCGCCAGUCGCAGUGCAGUAGUGGUGCUCCCAAGUCACAGGGUUGUGGUGGUGGUCGCUGUAAGUCCAAUUGAAGAGGCGGCGGUGAAGAUGUGGUUUAUUUUUUUUUUUUUUAGAUUUUUCUUUUGAUGUGGUUUAUUUUUGUAAACCAAUUUAAUUUGUAAACCAAUUUAGUUUGUAAACCAAAUUUAAUUUAUAAAACAAAAAUUUCAUUGGUAAAAAGAAUAA